CAGGGGGAGAGGGCUGUGCGGGAGGAAGAACAAGCGGGGCCGGGGUGGGCGCGUGGCUGCAGACCGAGCGCUGGCCAGUGGCUGACGGGGAGGAGGACUGCGGCAGGAGCGAGGUGAGCAUUGACGUCACCACCCGUUGGCUCUUAGCUGGUGGGGGGUGGGGGUCCCGUUUCAGUUCCGCCUUUCUAAUGGCUACCCGAGGCCUGGGAAUAAGAUGUUGGAGGAGGGGGGAGACGGAAGGGGCCCGCCCAAAGGCCACCCGACAUUUAGCAGCUGUCUGAGUUGGGGAGACGUUAGGGAACCAGGCGCUAACUGUUUGUUGCCUUCAGAACGCUGGCUUUCCCGCCCCUGGAUUCUCCCCCCGGGCACUAGAAUCUGAGCUCUAGCUUCUGUUUACCAAGUAGCUACCAAGGGAUGGGAUGGAAGAUGGGACACACACCCUGGCACUCCCACACACAAAGACAGCUCUCACAUGGAAACACACGGUGCUGCCCCUUUCAAUGCGGUCUUUUCAUGAAGAAUGAUGAUGAGGCUCUCUAAAGGGCCCCCAGAAACUCGAGACUGAGUUAGGAAAGGAAGAGAUGGAGCAGCCAAAGGCAAAACAGGUUUUAGAGAGGACUCGCCCACUCUCUCUCCCUAGCCAUCAUGUCCACAUAAAAAUGUUUUCUUUAUACAUUUGCAUUAGGAAUUCUCCUCCCUACUCUCUUGCUGCUCAUAUGUCAGCACUGUGAUAUCCUUUCUCUAACUGAGUAUGUGGAGGAGUUGCUACAAAACCGCUCUUUAGUCACAGAUAUUGGAGCAACCAUGUUGUAGGGCAUGUGAAGCCACUAUAUAGCCACUAGCACCUCAUACAUAGGAUUACUCAAGUAUCCUCUUUCUUUCUUCACAUUUCUGAACACUCAUGUUUCCUUGCACAUGGAUAUCAUUGGUCAGUACGCAUUGACUCUCCCCCUGUUUCCCUGAGAUACAAUGUCCUUGUAUAUAAGAACAAAUGAAGGAAGAAUAAUGCUCUCUGAGUACUAGAAGAAGGCUCCUUUCAUGUAUAGAGAGGUUAGAGGAAAUGGAUACAUGUGAAUAUUUGGAGAGAAUGUAACCACACGCUUAUAUAGGAACCAAGAGAACAUGUGAGUACUCUUACACAGAGGAAGAGAGAGAAUGAUUUCUAAGGUUUAAGAGGAGAUAGAAAGGGAAAGUCCUAGAAAUGAACUAACAGAAAAACCUACGUGUGACCCCAUAAAGGAAUGAAGAGAGAGAGAGCCUGAGCAGACACAAGCACACCCAAGGACUUCUCUGUCUUUUUGUGCCUGUAGUGUUACAUAUUCUCUAUGUGCUCAUGUAGAGAAGGGCCAAAUUCUUCUCUACCUGACAGAUGCUAGUCAUGUGAAUAAAGAGAAGACACAAAAAGAGAAAGGACAAGGUACUCUCUGGGUAGGAUUAUACAGAGAAUUACUGAUUCCUCCCCAGCCAGACUAGGUGAAGAGAAAGGGAGCCACUGCCUGACUUGAACAGACCGGUGAAAUAUGGGAGCCCUGUUGGAUGAGAAUAGAGGCAGCCCAGGGGUGUUGAAGAGGGGACAGAAGGGCUUCUGGACAGAGAGCUGAGGGUCAAGAGGGGCAUCAAUGGCGGCCCCUGUGGUCCUCUCCCUGGGAGCCUGGUGCCCUCCCGGGAUUGCAGUGGUUAAUAAGCCCCCCUGACAAUUAGUCCUUUGCAGCUGUAGGGGGGAAGUAGGGGGAGAAGGGUGAGAGGGUAAGGGGAAGUGCAGGUGGGUUGGGGUGGUCAGGUGGCUAUAGAGAGGUGAGUGGGAUGUAAGGUGGGACUCGUGGAGAUUGGGCAUUGUCUGGCCCGAGGGGGACAGCAGCAGGAGACAGGUGAGCGCUGACGUCACCAUCCACGGAUGCUCAGUGAGGGGGAGGGUGUCCACCUAGCCAGGCUUCACCUCUGUCUGUCUAAUAAUAGCUGCUCCAGGCCUGGGAAUAGAUGGUGGAGAAGGGAGAGAUGGCAGGAUGCAGCCCAAAGCCCAUCUCAGACUCAGUUGUCUGAACCUGGGAGUUAAGUGAGUAGGAAGCAGAAGCCCCAGGCCAGGGACAGCUCCCAAAGUAGGGAAAAGGUCCCCAAGGGAGCCCUACAGAUCCUUGGCCUUCCACUCCCUGGGCUCUGAGCUGUGACACUCCCUGAGGGAUGAGGGACACAUGUGGCUCAGGAGGCAGGGCCAGGGAGACUCCUGGGCUUGAUUGCAGGCUUUAGGCUCAGAAUAAGGGCUGAACCUGCUGGUUGGGGGCUGCCUGAAAGGAAAGCAAUAGAAGGGCAGAGUUUUCACAGGGAGUAGAAAGUGGUUGGGUUAUGGCUAAGAGAGGGGCAGUGAUGUUGAGGUGGGAUCCUGAUGGGCUUGUAGGUGUGGGUGGGUCAGGAGGGCUAAAAGAGACCUCAGAGGUCAUUGGUACCUCAGAGGUCAUAAAAGGCCAACCAUCUCCUGAAACAGAAAGGGUAAGUGAAGUCAAGAUCAGGGCAGGGACUGCCAUGGCCAAGGUCACACAGCCAGUAAGGGUAGAAGUACACUUGUCAGCCCAGCUUCCAUCUUGCCUUGGUCCUGCUCUGAGAGUCAAGUUUGAUGGACCCCAAUCCCAUAGGAAGAGCUUCUCCAGAAACAGGAGGAGAAUUUCCCCAUAGAGCCAGUGGUUCUAGAACUCUACUGUUAUAAGGCAGGAGUUAAGGGGGGUCUAAGCAAGCCUCUUUGGCUUAGCCUUGGGGAUAUUUACCAAGGUGAGCCAGUAAAUUCCAUGCCCUUCUCUGAUUUGCUUUCUGCCAUUUGUGACACUUAGAGCUGCUCUUAAACAUUUUCCUGGUGUUUUUGGACAGAUGUGUAGGCAGGGUCCCUCUUUCCUGUCCUCCUUAGAUUAUUUUCUGUUUGGGAGAUGUGUGUGUGUGUGUGAGCGUGUCUCUCUGUGUGUGUAGCAGUUCCUUUGGGAGGAGGAACAUGAUAGAAGUGGCUAAGAACUGGCCACAGAAAGGGAGCCAAGCUUGGAUGGGCAGGAGUCCAGAAACGUGGGGUGACAGCUGGGCUUUAUUCAUGGAAAGGGAGGUGGAGAUGAUGGAUAGAACAGAGGUGGGAGUUUUAAAGUGAGUAAUGGGACCUGCUGGGGCUACCAGAAGGGUGCUGGGGGAAUCAAAGUAGGAAUGGAAACCUGUUGAAUAACAAUCCCUUGACCAGAGGGCAUCAUGUGCCCUUUUCUUUACCACCAUGUCUCACUAACCUUGUCUCCCUCCUGCCAACAGCCUCCAGAAAAAGAAGAUGAGGCCAGAAGCAGGAGCCCAGCCAAAUAGUUUGGGAAAAUGAAUUCAGAGAUAGAGGAGGGCAUCUUCACCAGGAAUCUUCAAGAAUUCAAUCACAGGGAGAGAAGCAGUAGCAACCUUUCAACCUUCCAGAAAAAGAAGAUGAGGCCAGAAGCAGGAGCCCAGCCAAAUAGUUUGGGAAAAUGAAUUCAGGGAUAGAGGAGGGCAUCUUUACCAGGAAUCUUCAAGAAUUCAAUCACAGGGAGAGAAGCAGUAGCAACCUUUCAACCUUCCAGAAAAAGAAGAUGAGGCCAGAAGCAGGAGCCCAGCCAAAUAGUUUGGGAAAAUGAAUUCAGGGAUAGAGGAGGGCAUCUUCACCAGGUGAAUUAGGAGCACUACAACAACAAGCCAAAGCUUAUUCCACCAAAUACUCUAGUGAACAGAAAUAUAAAAGAAAGUCCAACACCAAGAGAGAUAAGCCUCCACAUGAUCCUCAUACACUCUGACCUAUCCCAGCUGCUUCCCAAAGAUCCACUAAGAGAUUGGAUGGAAGAUAGGACACAUACACAGAGAAUAAGAACUCUCACAUAGGAAACACACACUCCUUCCCCUUUCAAUACAAAACUUCAUAAAGUAUUUUCAUUGACAUCCAUCAGGGAUCAUAUUGAGGAAACUAAAGAGUAUAUCCAAAUGGUCCCCAGAUACAUUGGACUGACUUAGAAAGAGGAAGGAUUGAGUAAGGAAAGGAAAAUAGACUGAGAAAAUUCUUUCCUAUGGGGAAUCCCAAGGGUAAAGAUGCUAGAAGAUUCAGACACAUCUCCUAGGUGAAGAUUGCCUACCUUCUGUGGGUAUAUUGAGACAUCUUUGAGGACCCUCAUACAUUCUAUUACUUGUCCAUUUCUCCAUAUAUUGAUAUGGACUGUUUACUCAUUCAUAUUGGGAAUUUCCUCCAUACCCCACUGCUGCUCAUAUUUCCACACUGAGAUAUGCUCCUUUACAUCUCUCUUUAUGUGAACUACCUACCCUAUACUCUUUCUCUCUUCACCUAUAUAUGAGCCUUGUUAUUUUAAGGGCUACUAAAGACACUUACAUAGUGUCCAGCACAUCAUACAUAGCAUUUACUCAAGUAUUCCCUCUUCUUUUUCACAUAUAUGAGCACUCACAUUGUCUUUGUACAGGAAUUCUUCUUCAAUGAAUACCCCUUCCCUCUAUAUCCUUAUUCCCAUGAGCACACAUAGAUGGUCUCUUUCUAUGUUUAGAAUUAUAGAGGACUGUUAUACUCUUUGUGGAAACCAAAAGGAAUCUUUUUUCUUUUCGUUAGAAUAUUUUUCCAUGGUUACAAGAUUCACGAUUCCUCCCCUUCCCUCCUAGAGCUUACAAGUAAUUGCACUGGGUUAUACAGGUAUCCUUGUUGAAAGCCUGUUUCAACGUUAUUCAUAUAAGCAUUUUUGUACAAGUCUUUCCCCUUAAUAUCUCUUUGGGGUACAAACCCAACAGUGGUAUGUCUGGGUCAAAGGGAAGGCAUUCUUUUAAAGCCCUUUGGGCAUAAUUUCAAAUUGCCCUCCAGAAUGGUUGUGUAUUAGUGUCCCAUUUGGCCACAUCCCCAUCAACAUGUAUCACUUACCUUUGCUGCCAAAUUGGACAAUCUCUUAAGUUUGAGGUGGUUCCUCAGAGUUGUUUUAAUUUGAAUUUCUCUAAUCAGGAGGGAUUUAGAAUACUUUUUCAUGUGCUUAUUGAGAAUUUUUAUUUCAUCCUGUGAAAACUGCCUAUUCAUGUCUCUUGACCAUUAGUUGAUUGGGGAAUGGCUUGUUUUUUUUGUUUUUGUUUUUUUUUGUAAAUUUGGCUUAUUUCCUUAUAUAUUUGGGAAAUUAAACCUUUGUCAGAGAGUUUUGUUGUAAAAAUGUUCUCCCAGUUGUUGCCUUCUAAUUUUGGUUGCUUUGGUUUUUGUCUGUUUAAAAAAUCUUUUUAAUUUGAUAUAAUCAAAGUCAUUCAUUUUACAUUUUUAAUGUUCUCUGUGUCUUGCUUGUUCUUAAAUUCUGGGAAACUAUUCUAUGUUCACCUAAUUUAUUUAUGGUUUUACUCUUUACCCAUUUUGAAUGUAUCUUCACUAACAGGAAUCUUCAAGCAUUCAAUCACAGGGAGAGAAGCAGUAGCAACCUUUCAAGUAAGAAGGAAGGGUAUGGGGAAACAAAUAUGGGAAUGGAUGUAGAGAAAAUAUAAGGCUGCACACACACACAGAGAAGAUCAGAUAUACACAUCAGAAAAGAGUGAAUGUGGGAGUACUCAUAGAGAGGAAGAGAAAGAAUGAGAACUAAGGUUUCUGAGGAGGUAGAAUGAAGAAGUGAUUCAUAUGGUCCAAGUGGAAUGGUCAUAUGAACAUAUAGAAACCAGACAUGAGAGUUCUUGUGGAGGAAGAGAGAGACCCAGAACAUAUAUAUGUAUAUGUAUGUUGAGACAUGUUUGCCGUUUUCAUAUGUACUAAUUGCACAUGCUCUCUACAUCCCGAGAUUCAGAAGUAUUACAUUAUUCCUUAUAUGAGACUCCAGAGUCAUGUGAACAGAGAAUAUAGGAGAAAAUGGUCAAGUUCUUUCCCUUAAUGAGAGUAUAAUGCAAAUGGCUCAGUCUCCCAUGACAGGGACACCUAGAAAGAAAGGGAGAGUGCACUGUGAGAAAGGACAAUAAGGCGGCACUGCUGGAUGACAAUACAGGAAGCCCAGGGGUCUUUAAGAAGGGAUAGAGGGGCUGGUCUUGGGACAUCAAUGGCGGCCCCUGUAGUUCUCUCUGUCCGAGCCUGGUGCCCGGGAUUGCAGCGGUUAAUA